AUAACACCCCCACAUACCACAACAUCAUAUGACUGAUCUCCCACCUAAAAGUCCACAAAAUUCCCAGAAACUGCAAUAAUUAUUAUCCUCUUCCAUUUUCCACGGCACCAAUAAUGACAUUUUCCAAAUCCCAAAACCUAAUCAAAUCAAAGUGUGUGUUCUAAUUUCUUUCUUCCUUCUCCGCAAGAACUUGGCAAGAAGAGAUGAGUUCUGACCCCAAAUAUGCCUAUCCCUAUCCUGCUCAUCAACAAGGGUACUAUCAAGGCCCUCCGGUGGUGGCUCCCCCUCAGUAUUAUGCAGCCCCUCAACCCAGAAGAGAAGUUGGUUUUCUUGAAGGAUGUCUUGCAGCUCUGUGUUGCUGUUGCCUGAUCGAUGAGUGUUGCUGCGAUCCAUCGAUCAUCUUCCUCUGCUGAUAUGUUUUCGCAAAUUUAGUAUUGUAAUUACAUGAAUAAGAAUUGGACCGUGAAAUGUGAUGUUUAUACAUUCUUCUGUUUGUGUGAUCACAGCAAAUUAUGCAUUUAUAGCUGUGGAGUAUAAUCAUGUAAAGCCUCAAAAACCAAAGUUUUCUGAGACAAUGUUGGCUCUAUAAGACAAGGUUAAGUCGAUCUAGGAGAUCAGAUGCGAGUUCGGUCCAAGGCAUCAUUGUCGAUAAACAUGUCAUAUAUGUGUUUGUAUUUGUUUCA